AUCACAUUUAAUAAUGAAAAAAUAACAUACAAUUCCUAAAUACCCAUUCACCCUUCUCCCCACUCUUCCCUCACACUAGUGAGGGAGUAGGGGGAGGUAGAGUAUACAGCCCGACCCGGCGGGGGAGAGUUCAGUCCGACCCGACUUCUCUCCUUAACUCUACUUCCCUAACCCAUUUUUUUUCCCCAUUCCUAACCCCAACCCAUACCCUUCCCCACUCCAAAUCCCUAACCCCAACCCACCCAGACCCCUACCCUGAACCUAACCAACCCUUCCCCACUCUUACCCUUUUCCCCUAUUCCUAACCCCAACCACACCCUCCCCUAAACCUUAACCUAUACCCUUCCCCACUCCAAAUCCCUAACCCCAACCACACCCUCCCCUAAGCCUUAACCCGUACCCUUCCCCACUCCAAAUCCCUAACCCCAACCCACCCAGAUCCCUACCAUUUUACUCCAAUCUCUCUAUCUUCUCUAACUCUUAAACCUAUCCCUAAUUAGAUUUAAUUUGAAUUUGAAGCUUAGAAAAUAGACCUUUAACCACGGACACUGUAUCGAUAUUAACUCGUCGUAAAAAUUAUAUAAUUUAAAGUAGACUAGAUUCCAAAUGUUUGGGACCUUUAAACAUGAAGAAAAACAAAAACUCAACCAGGAAGUGAAAUUCCGCCUACUUCCGGUUUGCCCACGGAUGUGUGACCCACACUAAUUUGAACAGAAGACUUAAAGACGCUUAUCAAACUAAUUCCCAAGUCUUUAGGACCUUCAGAAGCGAAGUUAUAGCACAAAAAGCCUUAGCCACGCCCAUUUUCGCAUAAUUAACUAUUUUCGCCUUUAAAACUAAUUCUCACCCGCUUCCCGUGGUCCUACA